GCUCGGUCCCGCCCCUCUGCCCUCUCUGUUGGUCCUACCUUGUAGACCUCAGAGAAGAAGCCGGCCCCGAUCUUCUCGGCGCAGUGGAAAUCGUCCACGCGUGCCAGGCUGGACACGGCGCUGCGGAGAGCUCGGUCACUGGCGGUUGACAACUCGGCUCAGGGAGCCGCAAGAUUCCUGGGCUCAAAGGACACGCAGGACUGAAAAAUGGAUCCUUCUGGCCCAGCCACAAUCGGAGGCAGCCCAGCAAUCUACCUACCUUCCCAGCCUCCGCCCUGGCCCAGCCUGCCCAUUUCCCAGGUCUCGACCUUUACACGUUAAACCUCCGGACUCCCUGACACUUUCUACCUUCUCGGGGGGUGGUGAUGCCCCGAGACCUGAGCGAGCCCUUGGCCAGCCCAUUCCAAGUGUGGCCCCGACUCCUCCUCAUUCAUCCCGCCUCCCUCGAAUAAAGUUCAGAUUCCAGAGCCUGGUCAAGUGACCACCCA